UGGGGAAUAUUGGGCAAUGGGCGAAAGCCUGACCCAGCAACGCCGCGUGAAGGAAGAAGGCCCUCGGGUUGUAAACUUCUUUUAUCAGGGACGAAGCAAGUGACGGUACCUGAUGAAUAAGCCACGGCUAACUACGUGCCAGCAGCCGCGGUAAUACGUAGGUGGCAAGCGUUAUCCGGAUUUACUGGGUGUAAAGGGCGUGUAGGCGGGAUGGUAAGUCAGAUGUGAAAACUCAGGGCUCAACCCUGAGCCUGCAUUUGAAACUAUCGUUCUUGAGUGAUGGAGAGGCAGGCGGAAUUCCGUGUGUAGCGGUGAAAUGCGUAGAUAUACGGAGGAACACCAGUGGCGAAGGCGGCCUGCUGGACAUUAACUGACGCUGAGGCGCGAAAGCGUGGGGAGCAAACAGGAUUAGAUACC
rnacentral:rRNA from 1 species